rnacentral:rRNA from 1 species
UACGUAGGGCGCAAGCGUUAUCCGGAAUUAUUGGGCGUAAAGGGCUCGUAGGCGGUUUGUCGCGUCGGGAGUGAAAACUCAGGGCUUAACCCUGAGCCUGCUUCCGAUACGGGCAGACUAGAGGUAUGCAGGGGAGAAUGGAAUUCCUGGUGUAGCGGUGAAAUGCGCAGAUAUCAGGAGGAACACCGGUGGCGAAGGCGGUUCUCUGGGCAUUACCUGACGCUGAGGAGCGAAAAGUGUGGGGAGCGAACAGG